GAUGAACGCUAGCGGCAGGCCUAACACAUGCAAGUCGAGGGGUAGAAGGAGCUUGCUCCUUUGAGACCGGCGCACGGGUGCGUAACGCGUAUGCAAUCUACCUUGUACAGGGGAAUAGCCCAGAGAAAUUUGGAUUAAUGCCCCAUAGUAUAUAACCUUCGCAUGUUGGUUAUAUUAAAGUUCCAACGGUACAAGAUGAGCAUGCGUCCCAUUAGUUAGUUGGUAAGGUAACGGCUUACCAAGACGAUGAUGGGUAGGGGUCCUGAGAGGGAGAUCCCCCACACUGGUACUGAGACACGGACCAGACUCCUACGGGAGGCAGCAGUGAGGAAUAUUGGUCAAUGGUCGCAAGACUGAACCAGCCAGGCCGCGUGCAGGAAGACGGGCCUAUGGAUUGUAAACUGCUUUUAUACAGGAAGAACCCCUCCCACGUGUGGGGGCUUGACGGUACUGAAGAAUAAGGAUCGGCUAACUCCGUG
rnacentral:rRNA from 1 species